CCUGAGGCCCGGGGCCUCCUCCCGCCACAGGGAAGGGGCAGGGCGCCGGGGAUCCAGUGAUGGUUUCUGAGCUGAAGAGCCCUGACCCAGGCUGGGCCCUCAGGUGCCCAGGUGCUGUCCGGGCCGUCUGGCUCCACCUCCUACACCUCCACCCUCUGCAUCCAUCCACCCCCACCGUUUCUCAGCCACGUUGAGAAGCCAUGUGUGAUGGAGGAGAAUGUAAAAAUAUAUAUGCAACCGAAAAAACAACAACGAGCUGACAGAACACAGCUAUAAAUACUCUGACGGGCUCGGAGAUGUUCCCGCAUCCUGCUUCCUGCUGCCUAAGGCGCGGGGGCAUGGAUGUGGCAGGUGGGGUGGGACAGCCAUGUGUGGACCUACUCUGUGCCAAGCGCCUCGCAGGCAGCACAUCUCUGGAUCUUUGCAAAAACGCUCCCGGAGAAUCACCACUGUCACGCGGGCUUCUUUGGCUCCCAGAUAAGGAAGCCGAGGCACAGAGAAGUCAGCCUAGCCAAGGUCACACAGCAGGGGACCUUGGGAAGCAGUAGAGCUGGGAUUCCAGCAGGGCCAGCUUUCUGAAGAAGACAGAGCCGGCUUCAGGCUCUGCCUCCUGAGAUCCUCCCCCACGGGCAGGGAAAGCAUCAGGCUUCCAGGAACUCUGCUUACACACCUCCCAGGGCUCCCCAGUGCCCUCCAGAUAAAGACCUAAUUCAAGGCUGUCACAGCCCUGUGAUGUGGCCUCUGCCCACACCCAGAGCCCACCUCCCGCCACGGCCCCGGAUUUCUGAGUCCCAGCCAGGCAACGCUGGCCUGCUCUCAGGACCCCUUGAGGGCCCAGCACAGCCGGUCUUGUCACCUCCUGUCCCCUGAAGUCACAUCUGCCUACACCUGGGCCUCAGCUCAAGUGCUGCCUCCUCCCAGCCUCCCCCACGGUCAGAUCCUCCCGCACCUUCCCUGUGAUCAGGGGAGUCACUACUGGUGAUGGGCCGCAGCUGUGAGGGCCGGGAGAGGGGAAGGCAGGGCCUGCCAUCCAUGCUCCUCUUUGACGGCCUUGCAGCUGCUGGAGAGCCUGGGGGUGGUGGCGUGAAAUGGGAUUGAAGGGGAGCUGGCCUUGGACUCUGGGAGGAGGAGAAGGAAAGAAAACGAAGGAAGAAGAAAGACAAAAGGGACUCCUGGGGCCUUCAGGAGGAGAAGAGCCGAGAAGAAUGGGAGAUAAGUUGGCUCUGGCUCUUGGACCUUCAUCAUGUCUCGGAUCAGCUUUCCACGAGGUGUCGGAGCCUGUCUGCACCUCUGGCUGGUGUCAGCAUAAAGGAUCCUCACAGUGCCUGGCACAUAGUAGGUGUGCAGUCAACACCUGUCAAGGAAUCAAUGAACAACCACCCACGUGCGAAAGAAGAAAGAAAGUCCAAGCGCCCUGACUGAGAUGUGGAAUGUGGCCGUCGCCUUCUGCUAUUUCCACCAGAAACCCACCGCAGAGGUAUUUGUGUGGAAGGCAGGCAGAGGGAGAUUUCAGGAAGUCAGAGGGAAGGUUUCAAGUGCGACAAUAAAAACUUCAAACGGACAUUGGACAGUCCUGUUCUUCAAAGUUUCACCCCUGAGAAGUUUUAAUGGACCCCUUUAUCUCACACAGUUCCCCAGCCUGGCUCUUUUCCUUUUAAAAUUUUUUUUAAUUGAAGCAUAGUCGAUGUGGGCUUCCCUGGUGGCUCAGUGGUAAAGGAUCCGCCUGCCAGUGCAGGAGACAU